CUUGGCGACCAUAGCACUUUGGACCCACCUGAUUUCCAUUCCGAACUCAGAAGUGAAACGAAGUAGCGUCGAUGGUAGUGUGG
rnacentral:rRNA from 1 species